rnacentral:tRNA from 2 species
GCCUUGGUGGUGGAAUUGGUAGACACGCGGGACUUAAAAUCCCGUGAUCUUUAUGAUCUUGCGGGUUCAAGUCCCGCCCGGGGUA